rnacentral:rRNA from 1 species
UUAUGGGCUGUCACCUACCGCUGAAUGUAUAGGCGGUGUGGAGGGAACGCGGGGAAGUGAAACAUCUCAGUACCCGCAGGAAGAGAAAACAAGAGUGAUUCCGGGAGUAGUGGCGAGCGAAACCGGAAGAGGCUAAACCGUUUGUGUGUGAUACCCGGCAGGGGUUGCGCAGGCGGGGUUGUGGGAGUUUCUGUGAUCGUUCUGCCGGACGGUCGUCGAGUAAAAAAUCGUGGGUGUAGGCGAAGGGCAUGCGAA